rnacentral:rRNA from 1 species
UAUGUGAUCGUCUCUCGCAUAUCAAUAAGCGGAGGAAAAGAAACUAACAAGGAUUCCCCUAGUAACGGCGAGUGAAGCGGGAAGAGCUCAAAUUUGAAAUCUUAAAGGGUUUCCCUUUACGAAUUGUAGUUUAAAGAAGUGUUUUCUGUUGAGGUUUUGGUAAAAGUUCUUUGGAAUAGGACAUCAUAGAGGGUGAGAAUCCCGUAUUUGACCUUUACUUUCAACUUUGUGAUACACUUUCAAAGAGUCGGAUUGUUUGGGAAUGCAGUCCAAAAUGGGUGGUAAAUUUCAUCUAAAGCUAAAUAUUGGCGAGAGACCGAUAGCGAACAAGUACCGUGAGGGAAAGAUGAAAAGAACUUUGAAAAGAGAGUUAAACAGUACGUGAAAUUGUCAAAAGGGAAGCGUUUGACACCAGUGUUGUUUUUCUGAAAAUCAAUUAAAGAACUGUUUAUGCUAAGUUGUUUAGACUUUAUCAGCUAACUGUUUAGUUUUGAGCUUUUCUUUAAUGCACUUUUCAGUUAACAAGUCAACAUCAAUUUCUUUUGCUGUAAAAAAGCUUGAGGAAGGUAGCUUGAGAUUCGUCUUAAGUGUUUAUAGCCUCUUGCCUAUGCAGUCGGAGAGAUUGAGGUCUGCAGCGUAGAUCCUUCGGGGCUAAAUGCAUUUGUGCUAAGUUAUAGCAUUUUAUAGACAACUUGUUGACUAUGAUUUGUCUUGUAGCUUACUCGCUUAUGUUAUUUUACCUACGCUUAGGAUGUUGAUCUACAGAGCGAGAGU